AUGAACAAUCGAAAAGGUCCAGCAGGUGCUAGCACCAAUGACAGAAGUAAACUUUGUGCGUUGUGGACCAAUUUCUCAAUGUCAGUGGUAAAUCUUUGUUUCCCACCAUUUGUAGUGUCGAUGGCCAACAGUGAUGAUGUGUUGGCCGACACUGGCAUUUCAUUUCUAAUCGUCGUUUGAAGAGUAUAUCUCCUUAUGCAUUGAAGAUGAGAGGCAAUUUUGUAAGACUAAAUUGAUCAGUUUCAUAAUAGUGACGAGGACAUUGAAACUCAAGGACCGACACAAGGAUUAGGAGGACCUAUGACUAGAGCUAGAGUCAAAAAGCCAAAGGAGACCCUAAAACAAGUGGUAGCAACAAUUCUUGAAGUUGCACUUGCGGUGAAGGACAUUGAACCAAAAUUAUUUCAGUGCAUGAUUGUUAUUAAAGACCCAUGAGCUAGGUGUUGUAGCUGACUUUCUUCUUUUUUAUAAUUAAAUAAAAUUGUAUUUCUUUUA